rnacentral:misc_RNA from 1 species
CUCCGUGGUUUUCCUAUGUUGAUGAAAAAACAGGGACGCCCGUCAAUGCCACAGCGGUCAUGAUGUCUGCUACUGCAAUCAUCGCCUUCUUCACAAAGCUCGAAAUUCUCUCCAAUCUCUUGUCGAUCUCCACCCUUUUCAUCUUCAUGCUCGUGGCCCUCGCUCUCCUCGUUCGCCGUUACUAUGUGAGUGGUGUGACCACAAACGCAAACCGCAACAAGCUAAUUAUAUGCAUAUUGCUCAUCCUCGGGUCCUCAAUCGCCACAGCUGCUUACUGGGG